UUUCAGCAAUGGAUCUCUUGGCUCUCGCAUCGAUGAAGAACGCAGCGAAAUGCGAUAAGUAAUGUGAAUUGCAGAAUUCAGUGAAUCAUCGAAUCUUUGAACGCACCUUGCGCUCCUUGGUAUUCCGAGAAGCAUGCCUGUUUGAGUGU
rnacentral:rRNA from 2 species